AGAGUUUGAUCCUGGCUCAGGACGAACGCUGGCGGCACGCUUAACACAUGCAGGUCGAACGAGAGAAGAGGAGCUUGCUUUUCUGAUCUAGUGGCGGACGGGUGAGUAACACGUGAGCAAUCUGCCUUUCAGAGGGGGAUACCGAUUGGAAACGAUCGUUAAUACCGCAUAACAUAAUUGAACCGCAUGAUUUGAUUAUCAAAGAUUUAUCGCUGAAAGAUGAGCUCGCGUCUGAUUAGCUAGUUGGUAAGGUAACGGCUUACCAAGGCGGCGAUCAGUAGCCGGACUGAGAGGUUGAUCGGCCACAUUGGGACUGAGACACGGCCCAGACUCCUACGGGAGGCAGCAGUGGGGAAUAUUGCACAAUGGAGGAAACUCUGAUGCAGCGAUGCCGCGUGAGGGAAGAAGGUUUUAGGAUUGUAAACCUCUGUCUUCAGGGACGAAAAAAGACGGUACCUGAGGAGGAAGCUCCGGCUAACUACGUGCCAGCAGCCGCGGUAAUACGUAGGGAGCGAGCGUUGUCCGGAAUUACUGGGUGUAAAGGGAGCGUAGGCGGGAUCGCAAGUCAGAUGUGAAAACUAUGGGCUUAACCCAUAAACUGCAUUUGAAACUGUGGUUCUUGAGUGAAGUAGAGGUAAGCGGAAUUCCUAGUGUAGCGAUGAAAUGCGUAGAUAUUAGGAGGAACAUCAGUGGCGAAGGCGGCUUACUGGGCUUUAACUGACGCUGAGGCUCGAAAGCGUGGGGAGCAAACAGGAUUAGAUACCCUGGUAGUCCACGCCGUAAACGAUGAUUACUAGGUGUGGGGGGACUGACCCCUUCUGUGCCGCAGCAAACGCAAUAAGUAAUCCACCUGGGGAGUACGACCGCAAGGUUGAAACUCAAAGGAAUUGACGGGGGCCCGCACAAGCAGUGGAGUAUGUGGAUUAAUUCGAAGCAACGCGAAGAACCUUACCAGGUCUUGACAUCGUAUGCAUAGCUCAGAGAUGGGUGAAAUCUCUUCGGAGACAUAUAGACAGGUGGUGCAUGGUUGUCGUCAGCUCGUGUCGUGAGAUGUUGGGUUAAGUCCCGCAACGAGCGCAACCCUUACUGUUAGUUGCUACGCAAGAGCACUCUAGCAGGACUGCCGUUGACAAAACGGAGGAAGGUGGGGAUGACGUCAAAUCAUCAUGCCCCUUAUGACCUGGGCCUCACACGUACUACAAUGGCUGUCAACAGAGGGAAGCAAAGCCGCGAGGUGGGGCGAACCCCUAAAAGCAGUCUUAGUUCGGAUUGUAGGCUGCAACCCGCCUACAUGAAGUCGGAAUUGCUAGUAAUCGCAGAUCAGCAUGCUGCGGUGAAUACGUUCCCGGGCCUUGUACACACCGCCCGUCACGCCAUGGGAGUCGGUAACACCCGAAGCCUGUAGUCUAACCGCAAGGAGGACGCAGUCGAAGGUGGGAUUGAUGACUGGGGUGAAGUCGUACAAGGUA
rnacentral:rRNA from 1 species